rnacentral:rRNA from 1 species
UACGGGGGGAGCAAGCGUUGUUCGGAUUUACUGGGCGUAAAGGGCGCGUAGGCGGUCAGCACAAGUCAGUUGUGAAAUCUCCGGGCUUAACUCGGAAAGGUCAACUGAUACUGUGCGACUAGAGUGCGGAAGGGGCAACUGGAAUUCUCGGUGUAGCGGUGAAAUGCGUAGAUAUCGAGAGGAACACCUGCGGCGAAGGCGGGUUGCUGGGCCGACACUGACGCUGAUGCGCGAAAAGCCAGGGGAGCAAAACGGG